UUACAGAGCUUUUGCGAAACAUCAGAACACAAGUGCUUAUAAAAUUAAUUAAGCCUUACACAAGAAUACAUAUUCCUUUUAUUUCUAAGGAGUUAAACAUAGAUGUAGCUGAUGUGGAAAGCUUGCUUGUGCAGUGCAUAUUGGAUAACACUAUACAUGGCCGAAUUGAUCAAGUCAACCAGCUCCUAGAACUGGAUCAUCAGAAGAGAGGUGGUGCACGGUAUACUGCGUUAGAUAAAUGGACCAACCAACUAAAUUCUCUCAACCAGGCUGUAGUCAGCAAGCUGGCCUAACAGAAAACAAGCUUUUACAAAAGUACUUAAGGCAACAGUGCAGUGAUGUAAACCUUAAAAGAACUGGGAAUGGCAAAACUACUGUCGGUUGGUGUGCCCUGAAAUUAUUGGAGUUAUGGCAGAAGUGCUUUUUGGUCAGCUGGUUUGUGUUUUGCUGCUGCAUUUAUCCCAAGAAAAAAACAGCUUUAAUCUCCAGAAGAAAACCAAAAUGCCACGGGAUUUAUGCUGUAUUGACAUCUUGCCCUAAACAUACAACAUCCUAGUAAUUGUCAAAGGGCAAUUAAUGACCAGAGAGAAGAUUUUUGUCAUGAUUUUAAAUACACUGACACGUUACUGUUGGUUAAAAUUAAACAUGUUUUACCUGCAGAAAUUCUCUCACAGAAAUAACCUGCAAUAACUUGAAAUGCAUACCCUUUUGAACACUUCUUUUUCUCAUGUAUAAAUUGAAAUGUUUGCUGCAUUUUGCAAAUUGUCAAUUCUCCAAAAAUGUGUCCGUAUAUUUCUGUACCUGCAGUGUAGUAAAGGUUUAGAAGAAACCCCGUAAUUAUAGUGGCAUACUGUCACUUAGGUUUCAAGCAGCAAAAUAAACAGUGCGGUUCAGAAAUUGUA